rnacentral:rRNA from 1 species
GACGAACGCUGGCGGCGUGCUUAACACAUGCAAGUCGAACGGAAAGGCCCUGCUUUUGUGGGGUGCUCGAGUGGCGAACGGGUGAGUAACACGUGAGUAACCUGCCCUUGACUUUGGGAUAACUUCAGGAAACUGGGGCUAAUACCGGAUAGGAGCUCCUGCUGCAUGGUGGGGGUUGGAAAGUUUCGGCGGUUGGGGAUGGACUCGCGGCUUAUCAGCUUGUUGGUGGGGUAGUGGCUUACCAAGGCUUUGACGGGUAGCCGGCCUGAGAGGGUGACCGGCCACAUUGGGACUGAGAUACGGCCCAGACUCCUAAGGGAGGCAGCAGUGGGGAAUAUUGCAGAAUGGGCGGAAGCCUGAUGCAGCAACGCCGCGUGCGGGAUGACGGCCUUCGGGUUGUAAACCGCUUUCGCCUGUGACGAAGCGUGAGUGACGGUAAUGGGUAAAGAAGCACCGGCUAACUACGUG